CCUUUUUUGUUUACAAUUUUUUUUUUUCGAAAAAGAAAAAACCCAAAGACUAUGGUCCGGGGCCUUUUUCCUAUUGAUCCACUUCCAGGAUGGUACCGCUAGCUUUAGAGAACCUCUGAGUAGCAAUCAAUUAAUUGAGAUGAAAACCAUGGGAGAUUGGAUUCGAAUACUACCUUAGGCUAAAAAGGUGAAGAUAAUUACUAUUUCUUCAAUAAAGGUACAUAUAAAGUUGGUCGAAAAGGUAAUCAUUCAUUAUGCACUCUCAUAAAAUUUUCCUUAUGUGUUUUCUUACAAGGCAUAACUUUUGAGUUUCUACUCUUAGCUUGGUUACUCUGGGCUGCUGAGAUGACUUUGAUGUCACACUUUCUGAUGUUCUGCCUUUAGUCCAAGUCAUGCAUCAUGACAAUAGCAUUUAACAUGCCAUCAUUUGUUUUGCUGAUGGUUCGUUGUUAUUAGGCUUAUACAUACUUUACCCCUAACUUGUAACGAAAUUCCUUUGAGGCACACUCUUAACUGACAACCUUUUACACACCAAAACUUUCCCAACCGUGUCUAAUACACACCACGUUUGUUCAGAUGGCAUGUACAUCUUUUACCAACAAAUGAACCGCGUGAACAAGAGAGUUUUUGUAUCAGAUGCAUUAUUUAAGUGACACGUGUCAAAAUUUUAUUAGUUUUUAUUUUUAAAUUGGGUCAUCUUCUUCCUUAUUUUGACCCACAUUAAAUCUGCCAUGGCUGCUCCACCAGCCAAUCUUUCCAUCACCCAGUUCAAUAUUUCGUAUUGGCAAACAAUUCAUAGCCACACAAUUAGAUAAACCAAGAGGUCUUAGUUGCUGGAAGUUAAGAAUUAACCCUGGCAAGCUGGAAAUGCUGAAUAAGAGCAAAGCCCGGUACUUCCCAAUUUUCAGCUCCCAUGGUCUCCAGAAAGUGCAACAAGUUCGGUUAAAAUCUUCCCCAAAAUAAACCUCUGGUCAUAAUUGUUGGCAGCAGUCACCAGGAAUGGUUGGGAAGUAAUUACUGGCAUAUAAUCCCAACGCUACUGCUUAACCCUCACAUUUGUCUAAUCAUCUGGCUUUUGUUGUUUUAAGUUGAAACUUUUGU